UACGGAGGGGGCUAGCGUUGUUCGGAAUUACUGGGCGUAAAGCGUGCGCAGGCGGUUUUGUAAGUCAGAUGUGAAAUCCCCGGGCUCAACCUGGGAACUGCGUUUGAAACUACAAGGCUAGAGUGUAGCAGAGGGGGGUAGAAUUCCACGUGUAGCAGUGAAAUGCGUAGAUAUGUGGAGGAAUACCGAUGGCGAAGGCAGCCCCCUGGGAUAACACUGACGCUCAUGCACGAAAGCGUGGGGAGCAAACAGG
rnacentral:rRNA from 1 species